CGGGAGACACACGGCGGGUGCUAACGUCCGGUCGUGAAGAGGGAAACAACCCAGACCGCCAGCUAAGGUCCCAAAGUCAUGGUUAAGUGGGAAACGAUGUGGGAAGGCCCAGACAGCCAGGAUGUUGGCUUAGAAGCAGCCAUCAUUUAAAGAAAGCGUAAUAGCUCACUGGUCGAGUCGGCCUGCGCGGAAGAUGUAACGGGGCUAAACCAUGCACCGAAGCUGCGGCAACGACGCUUAUGCGUUGUUGGGUAGGGGAGCGUUCUGUAAGCCUGUGAAGGUGUGCUGUGAGGCAUGCUGGAGGUAUCAGAAGUGCGAAUGCUGACAUAAGUAACGAUAAAGCGGGUGAAAAGCCCGCUCGCCGGAAGACCAAGGGUUCCUGUCCAACGUUAAUCGGGGCAGGG
rnacentral:rRNA from 1 species